CAUUGCCCCAGCAUCUCCUAAAGCUGCUGCAACAGGAAGACUACAAAUAAGCAUGCAGCUGACGUCAGCUAGACUGUUUUUGCAAGCAACUCACUCUAUUUUUUUCCAGACAAAAUGAGUUUUCUCUGCAAAAUCCAGUUUUCCAGAACUACUAGAUGCUGAGACAUGCACUGGAGAGACACGAGAAGGGGAGAAGCGUCAGUGCCUGCAAGGCUGCCUGCUACGUCCCUUGUAAGCUCAGUAAUACGAGGAUCUUUUCAAGCUUUCUCAGAGCUCCGAAGCCAAGUAGCCCAACGCUGCCCGGAUGGAUGGCACAGCUGGGAGCGGUUUGAGAAGCCAUCCACUGAAACGUAAGCAAAAGGCUCUUAAGGAAGUCUUUCAAGAGACCAUAUAGAGCGACUAUAAUGGUAGGAAAUAAAUACAGCUGUUGCAAAGGGGGAAGGGAGCCUACUGCCCCAACUCAGACAUGACGGAUCUCAGGAAGCACAAGAUGUAUGGCGUUUGGGAAGGGCACCACUCACACCAGAAAGUACAACAUCCAUCAGACCACACAAGGGGCUUAGAGGCGAGCUGACAGCAGCACGUUAGGAAACGGUCUGUGACCUACAAGACAGGCCACAAAAGGGAACAGUUAAGCCUGAAAGAGUAAGCCGAGAAUUAUGAAUGCCUGAGAGCUACAAAAGUGUUCUUCAAAGAAUAAAAACCCCUUUCGCUGCCAGGAGAGAACUGUGACCUGUGCAUCAGACAGGGCAUAUGCUGAAAGGUCCCCUGAGCAGCACUGACGGGCAGGCCUCCCUCCAGGGCGCCCAGCCUGCCCUCACCUCUGCUGCCCAGCCUGCACCACUCCCAGCUCCUGCCCAAGGGGACACUAUCUGCUGCUUGGUCUAAGUGCCUGGCUCACAGAGACACUGUACCAAACCCACCAUUCUUAGCUGUCAUGAAGAGUGUAUAUAUAUAUAUUCUUUAUCAUGAUGGGGGAGGAUUCAGGAAUAUUAACCCUCGAGGCAUAGAUAUGAAAGCCAAGCGCUAUGUUCUCCGCUGUGCCCACAGCCUGGCUUGUCCUGAGGGACAGUGGGGAUCCCAGCAGAGGCCUUGUGGGGAUCUUGGUUUGGCACACAGACAACUUCAGCCAUGGUGCAGCUCGAGAGCAGAGCCCCCCAUUGGAAUCCCCCAUCUGCAGGCCCAACUGUGUGUAAACAAACUUCUAAACCCCAUUUUCCCUGGUAACAUUGUUUUAAGCCAGAGAACAAUAAGAUGGCGUGCGUAACGCAGCCACCCAUGGGAGCACAGCAGACAGUUACAUUAACUUUUUUACACCAGUUUUAUUAUUGAGUUAAAAGGAGAAAUUUCUUUUCCAAAUAUUUUUAUGGGGAGUCGGCGGGGAGAUUAAAAUACAUGUAAGGCAAAUUACAGAACGGUUUAAAGAGUUCCAGUGCCAUAAAUUAGUUGGAUCAGAAAUUCUGAACAAAACAGAAUAAAGCCGCAGUGGUACUUGCUGAUGGAGGAAACGGAACUGUUUAAAAGAGGAGCUAUUCCUGAAAAGCCAAUUAAGUGAUGCCAUUUUUUACAACAGUCAAGUCAAGGCAGAACAUGGCAAUGAAUGCGCCAGACGUUACCAGCAGCGAGCUUACCUCAGUUCCAGGCGGUCAACGCGAGACAAAAACACCGGGAUAAGGAUAGUAACACACAGUCAAAUCAAAACAGGUUAAGCACAGGAAGACUGAGGUUUGCACAGAUACCAAAACUACAAGCUCUGCUGAAUGACUAUGAAUACUUUAGACCAGUUUUCACUUCUCUUCUAAAUGCAAUACGAGCUGCUGAUCACAGUCUGCUGAAAAGCUAGAGAAAUGGAGGUGUAGUUAACGAGGAUGUCUCCUGUGGCAAGUUACGAACACCUGGCACAUCCAGACUUCACUCUGGUGUUAAAACUCCCCUCCAGCACUGAAUGGAGCCUUGCAAGAAAAGUGUGAAUCUUUGACAAGUGAGAAUCUUUGAAAAGUGCAUUCUCUGACAUCAGACCCUUGGGCCUAAAGGGUCCUCAUUACUACACCCAUCAGCUGAAUCUUCUUCUAAGACUUUUAAACAUAAAUUAAAAGCUCUCAGGCUAAAGAAUAUAAUUCCUAUGAAAGAUCAAACCUUACAACAACUUUUGUUUUGUUUUAUAUACUUCUUAAUAAAAAUCAUUGCUGGCCUUUACGAAGUCUGGAAGUUUUGUUCCUAUUAACAAAAGUUCUCUUAUUGGUCCCAGUGCCUAACAGGAAUACAGGACGUCACCCAACACUGGCUCCAUUUAUACAAGGGCUGCUCUGAAAGUACUGCCUCCUAUUUUAUUAUGUAGGCUCAAGACAUCAGAAGCAGA